AGCCAUGCAGUGCCACGCUGCCACAUUGUUGACCCUCGCUUUCACCCCACUUCCAGACAUUGACAAGUGAAGCCUUUGGAGCCUCAGUCACUCAUGACUUGCCUCCUUUGUUACCUGCCUGAUCUGCAGUCUCAUGUUGGCCCUGAUUCAUGGUGGUCAGCACGUAAGGUUGUUGUGCCUGGUAGGGGCAGAAAGGUAGAAUAGCUGUCCCCAUGCCACGAGGGGGAGGUGGGGAUGGUUGUGAGCCACCUUGUGUUUGCGAGCCACCUUGUGGUUGUUGGGAAUUGAAUUCAGGAUCUCUGGAAGAGCAGCCAGUACUCUUAACUACUGUGCCAUCUCUCAAGCCCCUCAAACAAUUUAAUUAAAGCAGUUCAUUGGGAAAAAUGAUAUUUUCCUACUCUGUAACAAUUAAAAAUGUGUUUUGUUGGAUUUUAAAGGUAGUUGGGGGAGGUGGGUCAUUGUUAAAACAAAAAUAUUCCUUGACCUUCAUUGAGUUUUACAAACUCAUUCAUUUAUUUUAGGUGGGGGGUGGGGAUGUAUGUGCAUGACUGUGGACAUCAGGGGACAACCUGUGACAGUUGCUUCUCCCUUCUGACGCUUGCAUGCCAGGGAUUCAAGUCGGGCUGCCUGGCUUAGCAGCCAGAGCCUUUACUGCUAAGCCGUUCCAUUUCCUCAACUGCAAUGUACUGAUCUGUGUUUCUAGUUUAGCCACUGAGCAGUACCACAAAAUGGCUGUGACCUUGAACGGACAAAGAACUCAGGAAGUGACAGUUCUGGGUGAUGAUAAGACAGCACAACCUGGUCUUGGACUAAAAAUGCAGUUUUGAUCAAGAAGAAGGAAGACUAAAGUGUGGAUACUUCAGUCCUUCUUAGAAUGGGGAACAAAAUACCCAUGGAAGGAGUUACAGAGACAAAGUUCGGAGCUAAGGCGGAAGGAAGGACAAUCCAGAGACUGCCCCACCUGGGGAUCCAUCCCAUAUACAACCACCAAGCCCAGACACUAUUGCAUAUGCCAGAAAGACUUUGCUGACAGGACCCUGAUAUAGCUCUCUCUUGUGAGGCUAUGCCAGUGCCUGGCAAAUACAGAAGUGGAUGAUCAUAGUCAUCUCUUGGAUGGAACACAGGGCCCCCAACGGAGGAGCUAGAGAAAGUACCCAAGGAGCUGAAGGGUUCUGCAACCCUAUAGGUGGAACAACAAUAUGAACUAACCAGUACACCCAGAGCUUGUGUCUCUAGCUGCACGUGUAGCAGAAGAUGGCCUAGUUGGCCAUCAAUGGGAAGAGAGGUCCCUUGGUCUUCCAAAUUUUAUAUGCCCCAGUACAGGGGAAUGCCAGGGCCAAGAAGUGGAAGUGGGUAGGUAGGGGAGCAGGGUGCGGGGAGGGUAUAGGGGACUUUUGGGAUAGCAUUUGAAAUGUAAAUGAAGAAAAUAACUAAUAAAAAAUUGGAAAAAAUGCAGUUUUGGAGGACCGAAGAGAUGACUCAGUGGUUAAGAGGACUUGCUGCUCUUUCAGAGGUCCUGAGUUCAAUUCCCAACAACCAUAUGGUCGUGCACAAACCAUUUAUACUAGGGUCUGAUGCUCUCUUUUGGCAUGCAGUUAUAUAUGCAGAUAGAGCACACAUAUACAUAAAAUAAAAGUAAAUGAAUGAAUGAAAAAAUUCUGGCAGAAAACAAAUGCAGCUGUCUUGCUUUAGCCUCCCAAUUGCUGGGAUGAUAGCCAUGGACCAUCAUGCCUGGCUAACAUCUAUCUACCUGCCUGUCUAUCUGUUCAUGCAUUUACCCAUUGAUCUGUCUGUCUGUCUGUCUGUCUGUCUGUCUGUCUGUCUGUGUAUCUUGUCUCCUUGGUAUCCCAGGCUGGCCUCAAUCAUGAUCCUUAGCCUCCCAACUGCUGGGACUGCUGAUAUGUACUACCAUGUCUGGCCUAAUUAAAGUUUGAAUAAAAGGAAGUGUUUUGACUAUUA